CAGCGCGGUGACCUGGAGAACUGGAA
rnacentral:piRNA from 1 species